GAUGAACGCUGGCGGCGUGCUUAACACAUGCAAGUCGAACGGAAAGGCUCCUGCUUGCAGGGGUACUCGAGUGGCGAACGGGUGAGUAACACGUGGGUGAUCUGCCCUGCACUUCGGGAUAAGCCUGGGAAACUGGGUCUAAUACCGGAUAGGACGAUGGUUUGGAUGCCAUUGUGGAAAGUUUUUCGGUGUGGGAUGAGCUCGCGGCCUAUCAGCUUGUUGGUGGGGUAAUGGCCUACCAAGGCGUCGACGGGUAGCCGGCCUGAGAGGGUGUACGGCCACAUUGGGACUGAGAUACGGCCCAGACUCCUACGGGAGGCAGCAGUGGGGAAUAUUGCACAAUGGGCGCAAGCCUGAUGCAGCGACGCCGCGUGGGGAUGACGGCCUUCGGGUUGUAAACUCCUUUCGCUAGGGACGAAGCGCAAGUGACGGUACCUGGAGAAGAAGCACCGGCUAACUACGUG
rnacentral:rRNA from 1 species